GGGUGAAAACGUAGGGAAAAAGGGUGAAAAUGGGGGGAAAAGGGGGAGAAAAUGGGGAAAAAGGGGAAAAAAGGGGGGGAAAAUGGGGAUAAAGGGGGGGGGAAAGGGGGAAAAGGGGGGAAAAAAUGGGGGGGAAAAGGUGAAAACGGGUGGGAAAGGGUGAAAAUGGGGGGCAAAGGGUGAAAAUUGGGGGGAAAAAGGUGAAAACCAGUCCCGAGCACCCCGCUGCAGCACCCCAAGCCUGGGGGAGCUGCCCCAAGAGAUCGGGGUCGGCACGGGUCCGGUGGCUCGGCAGCCAGGUGUUUCGGGGAGGUUUUGCCCCAAAGUUGCCCGUUUUUUCUUACAUUUUUGCUCCUCGGAGCGCUGCGAGACGGGCGUGGGGGGCUGCGAGUCGUCCUUGUCGUCCCCCUCCUCCUCGGCCAGGUGGGAGUGAGCGUAGUGGUAGCUCAGCCCCGGGCGGUUCUUGUAGCGCUUCCCGCAGACUGCGGGACACAAACGGGACAUUUUUAACCCCAAAACCCUCGGGUUUCAAGCACGGGAACCCCCCCCCCCCAGGGAAAUUGCUAACGGGGGAAAACUCCGGGUUUUAGGGACAGAAAUCGGUUUUGGGGACGGAGAAAGCGCAGCCGGCACCUGUGGUGAGGUUUUGGGGUCACCCCAAAAUCUUCCCAAUUCUGCCCAUUUUCAGCCCCAUUUGCCCAUUUUCUAUCCCAUUUACCCGUUUUCUUCCCCGUUUGCUUGUUUUCUACACCAUUUUCUGCCUUUUGCCCAUUUUCUGCCCCAUUUCCCCCCCCCCUUUCCCUUGGGUUUUUCCUUCUCUUUUUUUGCCCCAUUUUUUGCCCCGUUUCCCCAUUUUCCACCCCAUUUUAUCCCCUUUUUUCCCUAUUUCCCAGUUUUCCGACCCAUUUUCUGCCCCAUUUCCCCCCCUUUGCCUGUUUUCUGCCCCAUUUACAGAUUUUCCACCCCAUUUUCUGCCCCUUUUCCCCAUUUCCCGACCCGUUCCCCAAUUUUCCAUCUCAUUUUCUGCCCCAUUUUUUGCCCCGUUUCCCCAUUUUCCCCAUUUUAUCCCCAUUUUUCCCUAUUUCCCCAUUUUCCGACCCAUUUUCUGCCCCAUUUACCAGGGGGCAAUCCCCAAACACCUCCCCCACACCCUCAGGUCCCCACAUUUUCCGUGCAUUUUGCCACAUUUUUUUUCCACCGAGUGGGGGACAAAAUCUCCUCCCCCCCGGGGAGGGUUUUUAAAUCUCAAUUUUUCCCAUUUUUCCCCUUUUUUCAAUAAAAGCAGGCACCGAAAACACCAAACCAUUCCGACCCUUUUUUGUUGUUUUUUUUCCCAACCGAGUGCUCUCGAACCCCCUAGGGAGGGUUUGAAAUCCCAAUUUUGGUGUUAAAUCCUUUUUUUUUCCCCAUUUUUCCCGUUUUUUUGCUGAAACGAGCACUCCUGAACCCCCCAGGGAGGGUUAUAAAUCCCAAUUUUUCCCAUUUUUUCACCCAAAUGAGUGCUCUCAACCCCCUCGGGGAGCGUUUUAAACCAUUUUUUUUCCCCAUUUCCCCCCUUUUUCAAUAAAAAACCACCAAUCUUGUCCCCCCCCCCCCCC
rnacentral:lncRNA from 1 species